CCGGUCCUCAAAGGGCCGCAGUGGGUACUGGAUUUCAUUCCAACCAAACGAGAACAAUCCCUUUUCACCAAUCUGGUGUCUAACAAGUGUAAUCAGUUAAUUGCAGUCAGGUGCUGCUUACUUUAGCAGAAACCUCAUUGGUUGAACUGUCUGUUUUGGAUCUGUUGGAACAAAGACCAGGACCCACUGCGGCCCUUUGUGGAAUCGGUUUGAGACCCCUGAUUUAGAGAGUCACGACACUCCCAUAGAGAUCCAUUAUACGAUUUUACUUCCGGGUACUUCCAGGUUAUGGAGCCUUGGAUAGUUACAAACAUCGCAUUUGACAUGGCGGACACCAUUCAUUUGAACGGCAGGCUGUCAAGUAUAUUCGGAGCUUUGAUGCACAUGGAUUGAAUUCUCAAUCGCAGCCUAAUCUGCUCCACAACAUUGGAGGAUUCCAUGAGGGAAUCAUUCGUUCCCAAACGGAACAGAUGCUCGACAUCCUUUAAGAGAGUGAAGACUAGUGUUGUAUCGGUCGCGAACGAUUCGUUCUUUUUGAACGAAUUGUUUGGGUGAACGAGACCGAACUAAUCACCAUCUGCACUGAUUCGUUCUAUGAAGCUGGUGGCGCUUGUUCGCUGCGUGGGAGGGCGUUGAGCAAGCGGCAGCGUCUUCUGACAUCGCACACGACCAAUCAGACGCCAGCCUCAUCGCGGGCAGGGGAGGGAGCGGAAACAGAAUCAUGGCGUAUGUCACUCAUUUCCACGUGUGGCCAAUAAGCAGCCAGCGUGCAGGCAGGGGGGAAAGACUGAGUUUUGUCACUUCCCGUUCAGUGAUUCGGUCCUCCGGUUCCUGACCUAGCUUGCUGCUAACUUGACUUUCCAGUAAUGACUAUGCGGUGAACGAGUCAUAAAAUGAAAGGAAACGACUUUGUCACAUAUUUGUUAACGUGGAGCCUAUCAAAUGCUGCUCAAAAAGACAAAAACACCACACAAAUCUAGCGAGCAUGGUUUAGUGUUCUACUUUUCUCAACAGACUCGGGACUGUGCCUAUGACGAUAUACUAUCAAAUUUACAGUAAUUUAAAACACGCGUAGCUGCGAGGCAAGCAAAACCUGAGCUGCGGUCGCGUGACGGCAGUGAAGCGGGCAGAGAACUGUCACUAUAUGGAGGCUUCAUGGCAGCGAUAUGUACCUCAUAUGUGCACAGAAAAAAAUAAUAUUUAGUAUGAUCACCAUAAUACUGAUUUGCAAUGAAACUGUAUAUACAUGUCAAUUUUUUCCGAGUGUUUUUUUUUUUUUUCGUGUCAGAGGGUGUCGGUUGGUUUGACAAAUUAUGUCAAUCCGUCCAUCAUGUGCUACUCAAGCGCCCCAAAAACAAAGCGCGCGGACACGGGAGAUGUCGCAAUAUGUCUACAUUUUUCUUAACAGACUAAUGAGAGUAGAAAGGCGAAAUCAUAAAGCAAACAAUUAUUUCUCGUCAGCAUUUGACGAUCUGAGAUGCGGGGACGACAGGGGAGCUGACCGGAUUAUUUUAUUUAUUAAUACCAGUGCAAAAAUUCAAAACGAUCAUCUUAAUAAUAAAAAACAAAAAUACAACAGAGCGAGAGGUUAAUAUGAUGUGUUGGCCGUUCCAUAAUUAGAAAUUAAACUUUCGAUUUAUUUUUAUUUUCGUGACAGCAGGCAUGCCGCGUUGGCUGUUAGCAGCAGCAUUGUAUAUGUGAGCAAGAUCAUGCUAAAGAAAGUCCGUGCGCCCCCGACCCCAAACCCCGACUUCCCCCUCAAAAGGAAAAUGUUUAACCGUGUCCUAAUUCGAAAUGCAAGCACGAGCCAUGACUUUGAGCCCAUAGAACUAGGACAGACGACGCGGAAGUUCUCCCUCGCUUUUGCAGCAGCGGGAGGGAGACGAGGCUGUCUCUGAGAGCAGAAUGAUAUCGCCUGUCACUCAUUUCUGAAACUACGACGAGUGGUCAAUGUGCAAGAGAGGGAGGGACCAAGCAAUGUCACUUCCCGUUCAGUUAUACUGCGAAGCGGUCUUUGGUGAUUCGUUCGGCAACGUCACUUCCCGUUCACUAACCGAACGAUUCAUUUGGGUGGGGAGGGAGAUGAGGGGGGCGAACGAUUCGUUGAACGAUUCGUUUGAACGAAUCGUUUUACUGAACGAACCGGAAUGGAUUCGUUUACUCAAGUGAACGACAGAUCCCGUCACUAGUGAAGACCUCAUCCGAUGGCCGGUGCUUCAACCAAUGCACACUGGCAUUGGUUGCAGAGUGAGAAGCUGAUGACCCUCUUCACUAUGCAUCCUGCCAGAUGUUGCCAUUUUGCCUGACAGCAUGGUCCCUGGUGCAUCUGGGCCUAGUGUUGUGGCGCCACCACUGGUUCCUGAUUGGUCGGCACCCGGCUCAUCCACCCCUGGAUCACCUGGCCUGGAUACGUCAUUGUCAUUGUGCUCACUUUCGCCCAACCUUCCCACCUCAAUUUCUCCCUGAAUGUCUGUAACAAUAACAAGGCAUUCUUAAUUUUAUAUGCAGUCAGUGUUUUUACAUUUGCACCUAUUGUCAUCUCCAAAGUAAAGGUA